rnacentral:tRNA from 1 species
GCGCUGAUAGUUCAGUGGCAGAAUAUUUGCCUUCCAAGCAAAUGACUCGGGUUCGAAUCCCGAUCGGCGCAC